AGACAUCUCAGUAAAACCCAACAGUUUAAGCAAAAAAAAAAAAAAAAAAAAAAAAAGACAACAAUGAAUAUGACAAUAGUAUACCAAAAAUCACCCAACGCCUUUAGAAUUAUAAUGAAUAAAGGAGACGUGGCUGGACUAGUCCAAGAAGAAAUGACAAAUGCUGCAGAUGUAGUGUUAUUGGUGCUACAGUGACUCCACAGCAGUUUCUGCAUCAAAGGAAAACAGGGCCCGAAUCAUGGCAGGAGGAAGAGCUGAAACACUAGAAACUCUCUCUGCAAAGGAAGGCCCUCUCCUCAUGACAAGGUUCUCCAUCACUGGAAUGAUACUAAGGAACAAAAUUCAGAUUUUCUUCUAUUAAACGCACUGAACUACAGUGAACUGAUGCCCAGCACUGAAGCAGCUUUACAGAGCUGUCAGGCACAAGCUUCCAUUAUUUGAGCAUACCAGGCUGGAGGAAUCCUUCGUGCGUUUUGGCACUGCUAGACCUUGUCAUCUCCUCAGUAUGAGAACAAGAAAAUGGGGAUGUAGUCAUAAGAAGACAGCAGCUGCCAGUAACAGAAUAGACCCUGUAGAGCUCAGUCAUGCAUAGAGAACCACUUCCCUACAUGAUAUUCUGGCAAGAGUAACCAGGAAAAUCAGAAGAUGCUGUUCCAGAUGUCAUAAAGACCACAGUAUAAAAAAAAACCCAACAUAAUCCUGCUUUGAAAAUUCACUGUAAAGAAAGGAAAAGACCGACUGCAUCUCUCUUGUAAUGAAAUCUUGCUUUGAGCCACAGGUCUCUGGGUGUCAAAGUAACUACUGAAGGAGCUUUCCUUUCAUGAAGAGAAAAACUUCAUCUCGGUAUGAAUGAUAUGUAUCCCCUAUUGUAUUGGAGGAUGAGAAAUCUGUGACAAAGCCCAUGCCUUUGGUGGUGCCCUGUCUACUAUGGAUCCCAGGAUAAACCCAGCAGGAGUGUUCUUUCCAUGUUUUUGAUGUGAAUUGACAGAGGAAUUAAGCAGCAAGAAUUAAAUGACAGAAACAUUUUACGUUGGAUGUCAGAAGAUAUCUCUUCCCAGCAUGACUGUUGUGUGCUCUGCUCAGUACAGACUUCCUCUGAUCACUGGCACGUUGAAGAAGUCCCUCCUCCAAGAUUUCUGUAAUAAUGUGAAGAUGAAAGACAGAAAUCAAGACUAUGUGAAAUGUUGAUUGGGGGUCUGAAUUUAACUGGCAAAAGAGAUUAGUUCCUGAAAAUUACAUUAGCAGUGGCUUGAAAACCUAUUCAAAUAAAAAAAAUGAGUAAGGAACUCUGGAUUACAGUCAUACUUGUAUUUUUGAAAGACAAAGAGGGAACCAGAAAUGCUAUAUUGUUAAGCUUCAUAUUAAGCAAUGCCUAACAUCAGUUGGAUUAAAAUUAAGGAUAAAAAAAUAGCAUUUGGCUAAGUCCAAUAGUAAAUAUUCCUUUGCUUGAAACUAGAUGAUCAUUGUAGUCCUUUUCAACCCAGGCCAUUCUAUGAUAUGAUUCAAAGAAAGGCUUCACACCUAACCUUCCUGGCCUUUGCACUGACUAUUCAAGCUCUGCCAGUAGCACCUGUCCUUUUUUCCCACUUCUCAUUUUCUUCCACUUGUCUCUUUAUGUUCUUCUGAAACAAAGCAAUCUUAUAGAACCCCAGCACCCUUUAUCCCUUCUUCUGCCCAAACGUCCCCAGGGUGUAAAUUCCAAGAGAUAUUGGUUGCCAGGUAUUCAAGGAUGACUGCCACACAUUGUUUCUUUCUUUCUGGGUUACCAUUUUCAUUCUGGCUCUGCUAUAAGGUAUCUGUUUUGUUCUCUCUUGCCCGAUUUUAGCUGUGUAUUCUCAGUCUGAACCUCUUAAAUAUUUUCAAUCUGUACUGUACGUCUAAAUCUUAAUGAAAUAUACAGAAUUGCUAUAUUUUAU
ensembl:lncRNA